AAGCCCCGGCAGACGACUAGCCUGCUCCUUUAGAUCUGCAGUCUAAUAUGCAAAACACCUCGGGGCU
rnacentral:tRNA from 1 species